rnacentral:rRNA from 1 species
AUUGAACGCUGGCGGCAGGCCUAACACAUGCAAGUCGAACGAGUGGCGGACGGGUGAGUAAUGUCUGGGAAACUGCCCGAUGGAGGGGGAUAACUACUGGAAACGGUAGCUAAUACCGCAUACCAUCGGAUGUGCCCAGAUGGGAGUAGCUUGUAGGGGAGGUAACGGCUCACCUAGGAGACGAUCCCUAGCUGGGCUGAGAGGAUGACCAGCCACACGGGAACUGAGAAACGGUCCAGACUCCGACGGGAGGCAGCAGGGGGGAAUAGUGCACAAUGGGCGCAAGCCUGAUGCAGCCAUGCCGCGGGUAUGAAGAAGGCCGUCGGGUUGUAAAGUACUUUCAGCGGGGAGGCGUUACCCGCAGAAGAAGCACCGGCUAACUCCGUGCCAGCAGCCGCGGUAAUUC